rnacentral:rRNA from 1 species
CUAGGGCUUGCCCUAGUGAUCAGUGGCGAACGGGUGAGUAACACGUGGGCAACCUGCCCCUCGCUUCGGGAUAACUCCGGGAAACCGGGGCUAAUACCGAAUAUUCAGGUACCUCGGCAUCGAGGAACCUGGAAAGGAUUCAGGCGAGGGAUGGGCCCGCGGCCUAUCAGCUUGUUGGUGGGGUAAUGGCCCACCAAGGCGACGACGGGUAGCCGGCCUGAGAGGGCGACCGGCCACACUGGGACUGAGACACGGCCCAGACUCCUACGGGAGGCAGCAGUGGGGAAUAUUGCGCAAUGGGCGAAAGCCUGACGCAGCGACGCCGCGUGAGGGAUGAAGGCCUUCGGGUUGUAAACCCCUUUCAGCAGGGAAGAAGCGAAAGUGACGGUACCUGCAGAAGAAGCACCGGCUAACUACGUGCCAGCAGCCGCGGUAAUACGUAGGGUGCAAGCGUUGUCCGGAUUUAUUGGGCGUAAAGAGCUCGUAGGCGGUUUGUUACGUCGGAUGUGAAAACCCGGGGCUCAACCCCGGGCCUGCAUUCGAUACGGGCAGACUUGAGUGUGGUAGGGGAGACUGGAAUUCCCUGGUGUAGCGGUGAAAUUGCGCAG